AAAACAAAAGCUAUAAAGUUAAUAAAAACGCACAGAGACACAGCCACAGAGCCACACAGAUCUACAGAGCUGUGUGUGCCAUUCAAGUGACUCGAAAACAAAACUACGCAGCUCACAGUAUUCGGAAUUCGGUUUUCAGUUUUCGGUUUUUGGACGGGAGCUCCGAAAGUGGCUCUCGAGUGGUCCAAAAACAAAAAAAUCUGGAUGAGAGAUGAAUAAUAUUUAUUGUACAAUAUGUGAAGUGGCCAGGAAGAGUCCCAGCCAAGACCGCCUCCAAAAAUCUCCGAUUCCCAGCGGUAGCCAUCGCCCUCAAGUGUAACGAAAAUAUUUAAAUGAAAUUGUCAAGAGAGCGAUCUGGCCAAGACGGAGAUUGAUAGUGAAAGCGUAUAGUAGGCCAGGCCCAAUGAAUAAAUUUGAACUGCAUCGAAUAUAUAAUUCAAUAAAUACAAUACAAUAAUGGA